rnacentral:misc_RNA from 1 species
GAAAUGCGAUAAGUAAUGUGAAUUGCAGAAUUCAGUGAAUCAUCGAAUCUUUGAACGCACAUUGCGCCCGCCAGUAUUCUGGCGGGCAUGCCUGUUCGAGCGUCAUUACAACCCUCAGGCCCCCGGGCCUGGCGUUGGGGAUCGGCGGAAGCCCCCUGCGGGCACAACGCCGUCCCCCAAAUACAGUGGCGGUCCCGCCGCAGCUUCCAUUGCGUAGUAGCUAACACCUCGCAACUGGAGAGCGGCGCGGCCACGCCGUAAAACACCCAACUUCUGAAUGUUGACCUCUAAUCAGGUAGAAAUACCCGCUGAACUUACGC